AUCGGGAGCCGCAAAGGUUUCGCCACAGAUGAGCUAAGUGAUGGGGUGAUGUCCCUCGGUACCCGUGAAGAAUCAUGGAAACGUUUAAUGUAUCUCGGAAGUGACAUGCCUAUCUUUUUUCGUAACUCUAUGUAGGCGUUCACCUGCUCAUACGGAGGCCCUUCGGCUCUUAGCGGGUAUCGGGCGCUGGGGGCGGGGCUUACGUGCCCUCUCACGCUCCCCCCCCCCACGCGGACAGAAAAGCAUGAAGAAAGCCAGGAUAGCAUCAGCACAGAACCUCCAUCUCCACUCCGCCCUGCAGUCAGAAGGGGGCAUCGUAGACGGCAUCUUACUGGGGAAAAUCACAAGCGCGACACUUUGACAGACAGUACACUCCCAAUUGAGAAGAAAAGGAAGCGGGACUGAAAGGAACAUUUGGGCUUCCCUGUUUUUUUAAAAAAGAUACGGGUAUACUUUUAUACACACUUUUCACGACCAUAUUCUCAGUUUUGGUAUUGUUCUUGAUGGAGAGUAGUAAGUUCCUUUCCCAGGGGAUGGAGGAGAAUGUAAAGGAGUCAGGAACUUGCACAGGUGAAUAAGAAAAUGCAAACCUGACUGCCACAUGACUGGAUUUCUGGAUUAUUUUUCAGAGACUUCCCUUAUUAGAUUGGGAGCAAGGCCAACUUCUUAGAAAACACAAUGGGGAAAUCCAGGAAUUUAUAGCUGCAUGAAUUUAUUUCAUCUUGUACAUCCCCACACGCCAAGGAGAUGAAUACAUAAAAGCAAAGACAGAACUUCA